GUGAGGAAUUUUCCGCAAUGGGCGAAAGCCUGACGGAGCAAUGCCGCGUGAAGGAUGAAGGCCUAUGGGUUGUAAACUUCUUUUCUCAGAAAAGAAUUAUGACGGUAUCUGAGGAAUAAGCAUCGGCUAACUCUGUGCCAGCAGCCGCGGUAAGACAGAGGAUGCAAGCGUUAUCCGGAAUGAUUGGGCGUAAAGCGUCUGUAGGUUGUUUAAAAAGUAUUCUGUCAAAGAUUAGGGCUUAACCCUAGAUAGGCAGAAUAAACUUUUAAGCUAGAGUUUGGUAGAGGCAGAGGGAAUUCCCGGUGGAGCGGUGAAAUGCGUAGAUAUCGGGAGGAACACCAAACGCGAAGGCACUCUGCUGGGCCAAUACUAACACUGAGAGACGAAAGCGAGGGGAGCAAAUGGGAUUAGAAACCCUAGUAGUCC
rnacentral:rRNA from 1 species